UGGGUAGUCCGCACGAGCGCACCUUGUCCUUUUUUGCCAGCCUUAAGUUGGGCACUCUAAGGAGACUGCCGGUGACAAACCGGAGGAAGGUGGGGACGACGUCAAGUCAUCAUGGCCUUUACGUGUAGGGCUACACACGUGCUACAAUGGCAUUUACAGAGGGAAGCGAGACAGUGAUGUGGAGCGGACCCCUUAAAGAAUGUCGUAGUCCGGAUUGGAGUCUGCAACUCGACUCCAUGAAGGAGGAAUCGCUAGUAAUCGUGGAUCAGCACGCCACGGUGAAUACGUUCCCGGGUCUUGUACACACCGCCCGUCACGCCAUGGAAGUCAGCAGUACCCGAAGCCGGUGGCCUAACCUUCGGGAGGGAGCCGUCUAAGGUAAGGCUGGUAACUGGGGCGAAGUCGUAACAAGGUAGCCGUACCGGAAGGUGCGGCUGGAUCACCUCCUUUCU
rnacentral:rRNA from 1 species